ACGCUCGACACCUACGGGAGCAGCAGUUGGGAAUAUUGGACAAUGGAGGAAACUCUGAUCCAGUGACGCCGCGUGAAGGAAGAAGGUCUUCGGAUUGUAAACUUAUUUUGUCAGGGAAGAAAAAUGACUGUACCUGAAGAAAAAGCACCGGCUAACUACGUGCCAGCAGCCGCGGUAAUCUGAGCGGGCGUGGCAAGGC
rnacentral:rRNA from 1 species